CCCCUCCUCAUGACCGGCAAAGACUGGAAUGCUUCAACAAUCACAGCAGCACAUCAGGAGCCUGGACCAGACAGUUAAUGAGAUCGCGAAAACCAGAGAGUCCACAAGUACAAGCAAAGGCACCUUAUGACUGUAUUGCUGAAGCUCCAAUACUUUGGCCGCCUGAUGCGAAGAAUCGAUUUACUGGAAAAGACCCUGAUGCUGGGAAAUA